UAACCUGAGAAAUGAAUGGGGGUUGAACACUGUCAACAUGUUAUGUGGCUUUUGUGGCCUGAGCUGCACCUCCACACCCCCUUCCUGUUGUGUAGGGGGAUUCAUGAUGAUAUUAGUAGCACAUCCGGGAAACCACCUUUGCUUUGACCUAUGUGUGUAAGUGGUAUUGUCUGCCGAAUGUUGCCUCGUGAGUCAUAAAAAGAAACUUACCAGCCUCUUUGUUAACAGAAGUGCUGUCAAAGCACAACAGAGAAGUGACACUUCAGAAAAGUAAUUCAGUAACAUGGAAGACAAAUUUGAGAAGCCAUCCCAGAAAGCAGAGGAAAAAGAGCCAAAAUCUGAAAGAGAAAUAAAGUUAUUAACUUGUGGAGGGGAUGGUGAAGAAAAGGAAGAAUAAGAACAAUGCAAGACAGAAAACGAAGAUUCACUUCACAAAAUAGAGGAAAAAAUAAAAU